rnacentral:rRNA from 1 species
ACGGGUGAGUAACGCGUAGGUAACCUGCCUGGUAGCGGGGGAUAACUAUUGGAAACGAUAGCUAAUACCGCAUAAUAGCAGUUGUUGCAUGACAGCUGUUUGAAAGGUGCAAUUGCACCACUACCAGAUGGACCUGCGUUGUAUUAGCUAGUUGGUGGGGUAACGGCUCACCAAGGCGACGAUACAUAGCCGACCUGAGAGGGUGAUCGGCCACACUGGGACUGAGACACGGCCUAAACUCCUACGGGAGGCAGCAGUAGGGAAUCUUCGGCAAUGGACGAAAGUCUGACGGAGCGACACCGCGUGAACGAUGAAGGCCGAAAGGUUGUAAAGUUCUUUUGCAGACAAAGAAUAAGGAUAGAAGGAAAUGACUAUCUGAUGACGGUAGUUAUGCGAAUAAGCCCCGGCGAAUUACGUGCCAGCAGCCGCGGUAAUACGUAAGGGGCGAGCGUUGUUCGGAAUUAUUGGGCGUAAAGGGCAUGUAGGCGGUUAGGUAAGCCUGAUGUGAAAUGUACGAGCUUAACUCGUAAACUGCAUUGGGUACUGCUUGACUUGAAUCAUGGAGGGGAAACUGGAAUUCCAAGUGUAGGGGUGGAAUCUGUAGAUAUUUGGAAGAACACCGGUGGCGAAGGCGGGUUUCUAGCCAAUGAUUGACGCUAAGGUGCGAAGGUGCGGGGAGCAAACAGGAUUAGAUACCCUGGUAGUCCGCACAGUAAAC